AAGCAAGACCCUCCAUGAGCAAAAAGAUGAGGCUCACUGGGGUACUCCACUUCACUACGGUAGUCUGGAACCCAAACCUACAGUAUUUCUGAGGUGAGCCUGUGCUUGCUUUAUUAUGGUGGCCUGGAACCGAACCUGCAGUGUCUCCAAGGCCUUUUCUUUUCUAGAAAUCUGGAAGCAAACCAGAAUGAUGUGUAAGAAAGAAGUUCUACUUGUAUGCAUCCCCAUGACUCACCACUUGCUUGAAAGAAGAUACUCCUCAGUCAAAAGAAGGGAGUCACAGAACAUGGAAAGCCAAAAUGAUCGUUAAACACCGGAGACAACUCUAGACUCUUAUCAACCUAGAGAUGACAGCAGCGGAGGAAUCUACAUUACAAACCUUGUCAGCAUAACCCUUAUCUUCCAUUAGUAUCCCCCAUAUGUUUACCUUCCCACGGUUUCCCACCCCUAAAAGUCUAAAGCUCCUUUCUUUUGUCACGUCUCUGUAAAAUGUAUUGUUCUUUGUUGGGAUGUUAUAUAAACCCAAGUUCUAACCACCACUUUGGGUUACUUACUACUGAGUAACUCCUGUUUGUAUGUGCAGUGCAUGUGUUAAUAAACUUCUGUUUGGUUUUCUCUUGUUAAUCUGGUUUUUGUCAGCCUGAUUUGCACGGCUCAGCCAAUGAACUUAAGAUGGAUAAAGGAAAACAUUUUUUCUUCCCCUACAGGGGAAAAAAUCUUAGGGGAAGGGCCCCCCAAAAGAUCAUAUUGUUCUUAUUAGGGCAUGGGACAUGUUUCACCACUGCCUGAACUAGCCAACCACUUAAUUUUACUCUGCAAUUUCCCCCAUUUAUUUCAGAUCAAUAAGCAUGUUCCUAAG